rnacentral:rRNA from 1 species
CUGCUUGCAGUGGUACUCGAGUGGCGAACGGGUGAGUAACACGUGGGUGAUCUGCCCCGCACUUCGGGAUAAGCCUGGGAAACUGGGUCUAAUACCGGAUAGGACCACUUCUUGGAGGUUGUGGUGGAAAGUUUUUUCGGUGUGGGAUGAGCUCGCGGCCUAUCAGCUUGUUGGUGGGGUAAUGGCCUACCAAGGCGUCGACGGGUAGCCGGCCUGAGAGGGUGUACGGCCACAUUGGGACUGAGAUACGGCCCAGACUCCUACGGGAGGCAGCAGUGGGGAAUAUUGCACAAUGGGCGCAAGCCUGAUGCAGCGACGCCGCGUGGGGGAUGACGGCCUUCGGGUUGUAAACUCCUUUCGCUAGGGACGAAGCGUUAUGUGACGGUACCUAGAGAAGAAGCACCGGCUAACUACGUGCCAGCAGCCGCGGUAAUACGUAGGGUGCGAGCGUUGUCCGGAAUUACUGGGCGUAAAGAGCUCGUAGGUGGUUUGUCGCGUCGUUUGUGUAAGCCCGCAGCUUAACUGCGGGACUGCAGGCGAUACGGGCAUAACUUGAGUGCUGUAGGGGAGACUGGAAUUCCUGGUGUAGCGGUGGAAUGCGCAGAUAUCAGGAGGAACACCGAUGGCGAAGGCAGGUCUCUGGGCAGUAACUGACGCUGAGGAGCGAAAGCAUGGGGAGCGAACAGGAUUAGAUACCCUGG